AAACUGUGAACAGCUUCCACAGUCAAGUAAAGGAUCCUACAAAUAAAAACGAAAACAGCAACAUUAUUUAUAAAAUUCCGUGCAGCGGCUGUAACAGCAGCUACAUUGGAAUGACUUCAAACAAAUUAAAAACCAGACUCUACGGACAUGCAUCGAACGUAAACAAACUCAACCAGAUACUAAGUGCGGACACACAGACAAACUACCAGUUAUCCGAGCUAAGAGAGAAAACCGCUCUCAUUGAGCAUUGCAUCGACACAGAACACAGGGAACAACGAGAUGCGAUGAUUUAAAGUGUGGAGAAAACAAAAGCAACUUUACAUGGCAUUACACAUUUACUAGUGCGCUUAGGUGAAAAAUAGCGGUAACAUCCCAGCUGGUCUCAAGGUACGAUGCUAACCUAACAAGCCAGUCGUCGUAGGUUCGAGUCUCGGCUCGGGAGAGACUGUUAGGGCCAGUAGGAUUGCAGCGCUAGUCCCGCAAUUGUACUGUACACAAAAACAGUUGGCUGCGAAGUGUGUGUAUGAACAGAAAAUCGAGUUCCGAAUCGGAAUGUUGCACUAAGACUUUGCCUUGCUUUUAGGGGUAACUUUGUUUGAGUUUUAGAAUUCGUACUAUUUCUUGUAUAGCAGUCGUGCAUAGUUCAAUCACACACAGCAUUAAAAGAGCAUUUUUGUCGCAUUUGAAAUCGAGAGCAAAAUUGCAUCAUUCGAAGGUAAAUAAAGAAACCAAUAUUUGUCAAACUCGAAUGUGUGAUGA